UAACGCAGGGCCUGGGCCAACCACCUCUGAGGCUGUGGAACAGCAAGGUGGAGUGAAGUGUCCUGUGUGUGACUAUGUGUACGGUACCAAGUGGGAGAUGAACAGACACCUGAAGAACAAGCAUGGCCUCAAAGUGAUUCAGAGUGACGUGCUUGGUCUCAACCAAUGGGAGACACCGUGUUGUGUGUGUGUGUGUUCUGAGGUGGUGGAACAGUCGGUGGAGGAGCCCCUUACCCAGUACCUCCACAUCACUG